rnacentral:rRNA from 1 species
AGAUGGCGACCGGCGCACGGGUGAGUAACACGUAUCCAACCUGCCGAUAACUCGGGGAUAGCCUUUCGAAAGAAAGAUUAAUACCCGAUGGUAUAAUCAGACCGCAUGGUUUGAUUAUUAAAGAAUUUCGGUUAUCGAUGGGGAUGCGUUCCAUUAGGCAGUUGGUGAGGUAACGGCUCACCAAACCUUCGAUGGAUAGGGGUUCCGAGAGGAAGGUCCCCCACAUUGGAACUGAGACACGGUCCAA